rnacentral:rRNA from 1 species
AGUGAACGCUGGCGGUAGGCCUAACACAUGCAAGUCGAACGGCAGCACAGUAAGAGCUUGCUCUUACGGGUGGCGAGUGGCGGACGGGUGAGGAAUACAUCGGAAUCUACUUUUUCGUGGGGGAUAACGUAGGGAAACUUACGCUAAUACCGCAUACGACCUACGGGUGAAAGCAGGGGAUCUUCGGACCUUGCGCGAUUGAAUGAGCCGAUGUCGGAUUAGCUAGUUGGCGGGGUAAAGGCCCACCAAGGCGACGAUCCGUAGCUGGUCUGAGAGGAUGAUCAGCCACACUGGAACUGAGACACGGUCCAGACUCCUACGGGAGGCAGAAGUGGGGAAUAUUGGACAAUGGGCGCAAGCCUGAUCCAGCCAUACCGCGUGGGUGAAGGAGGCCUUCGGGUUGUAAAGCCCUUUUGUUGGGAAAGAAAAGCAGCAGGUUAAUACCCCGCUGUUCUGACGGUACCCAAAGAAUAAGCACCGGCUAACUUCGUG